rnacentral:lncRNA from 1 species
GGCAUUUUGGACAAAAGAUGUCCUGUAACAGUAAUUUGCUUUGCUGGAGAUGUUUUUAUUCUCAGAUCACCAUCUAAUAUGCUGGGAACGCACCACAGACAAGUCACUCUUCAACAACAUUCACGAGUUCAUACUCAAUCAGGGAUAGGUUGUUGUCUUCCUUCACAGUGAAACUGGCAGGUUCAGCUACUUCAACACGUCCCCACUUGUCAACAGCAAGCCUCAUUGAUCCUUUAAACAUGUCGAUUUUUGCAUUGCGAAGGAUUAUAGUAGUUCCUUCUUUCACCAAGUCCACUAUACAUGAUGAAAAACAAACACAUUAAACUAAACCAUCUCAACUGGAAAAUCUCAAAACAUGUACAUAAAUUUAGGAAGAUAAUUACUUUUCAAGAUGCAAAUAACCAUGAAUACUGAUCAUGCUUGUACUUUUGCACAAUUAGAUAGUUAAUUAUUAGUUUCCCUUUCAACAGAUAAUAAUUCAACAAACAAAGGAUUUUAUGUACGCCAAGAAGUAUUUGUAAAUGAAGAACUCUUUGAAAUCAGCAAAGCUCAUAAAUCUAUUAUCCAAAACAACUCUUCUAGUGUUACUCACAUCAAGGCACCAAGCUACUUCAAGUAGCCUAUCAAGAAUUCAUGAAAAAUUACAAACAAUGGAACGCCAAAAUAAGUAACUACAACCAUUCUUCUGCCUCCAGUUAUUUUGUACGGAAAUUUGAUAAUAUAAAGCAAACAAGAUAUUUGAUCCUAUGAUAAAUUUAAAAAUAAAAAAAGGGCAAACCAACUACCAUUUUGUUCAUUUAAAAAUAGGUAAAAAUUUGGCUUAGUACGAAAAUGAUUAAAACAUUAGGGCAUGCAUCAGCAUAAGUGAUAAGCGGAUUGCUUCUUUAGUUGAUUGUGGCAUUUUAAUAGUCUGAUUAAGGUAAAUCAUUGUGACUCCAUGAGGAAAAGAGUUCUAACAAAAAAAUGAGCAAAUGCCAAUACACUGCCAUUAAUACAAUCUAACCAACACUAUAAAAGGCCUUUCAAACUAUUUAAAUUUGACAGUUAAAAGAACAAAGACAUUUGCUCCCAAGGGAAAAUGGCUUAAAAAUCACCAUCCCAAGCACUAAUGUUCAGACAAAGCUGGGACAAAUAAACUAAAUGUCUAGAAUAACUAGAUUUUUUAAUUGCCAUUUCCAAAAUAUUUAAAAGCAUGUACCUGGACACAGAUACAGAGUGAAGAAAAACAAAAUACCUUGAUCAUUUCUAGCUGUGAAGAUAAUCAUUCCUGUCUCAUCUCCUACCAAACAUUCAGCAAUUCGCAUUUGGCGUAUUUUUCUUAGGCAGUGGAAAGAUUAUUAUUCCCACAACAAAAACUGAAAACAAAUAACAGAAACUGCAUUAUUUUACAAACAAAUACUUUAGCAUGCACUAAAACUAUCGAUGCUUGGUCCAGAAAACAUUCAAUCUCCACUCUAACCCAUUUGACAACAUAAUUAUUUGUUAGAAAAAUCGCCAGAAGGAAACAACCAAACUCAAAACCUCUAAAGCUAACCAGCCAUGAAAAUAAAUCUAACCUUACAGCAGUGAAAACAAAGCAUGUGCCGACUAGAGAAGAAGACGAGUAAAAUUGGACAAGCAUUAAAUUUUACGACUGGAUAAGACCUAAUAAUAGAACUUGUAUUUAGAAAGAUUAAACAUGCAAGAACCACAAUAUCUGGAUACAGCGACAUACAGUUGAUAGAUUUUAUAUCUGUGAUCACAUAAGUUCAAUUACUGUCCAAAAAUAGAUAGGUAGCAAGCAAACCAAACCAAGUUUCCAAAGGCAGCUGCUUUAACUCUUAUCAAUUUUUACAGCCAUCACCAUCUGUUUGGAAGUCCAAGCAAAGGGUUCUGCUGGAUCUGCUGCGAAGGUAAAAGCAACUUGUCCAGUACUAGUUUGCAGAUUUUUUCUUCCUAAAAGUGAACUUUCACAGGCAUUUUGGACAAAAGAUGUCCUGUAACAGUAAUUUGCUUUGCUGGAGAUGUUUUUAUUCUCAGAUCACCAUCUAAUAUGCUGGGAACGCACCACAGACAAGUCACUCUUCAACAACAUUCACGAGUUCAUACUCAAUCAGGGAUAGGUUGUUGUCUUCCUUCACAGUGAAACUGGCAGGUUCAGCUACUUCAACACGUCCCCACUUGUCAACAGCAAGCCUCAUUGAUCCUUUAAACAUGUCGAUUUUUGCAUUGCGAAGGAUUAUAGUAGUUCCUUCUUUCACCAAGUCCACU